CUUGGCCUUGCUCCGGAGCUCACGGUGGGUGCUGGUGCGGGGAGCGGGGUGUGGUAUGGGGUAAGCAUCCAGCUCUCCUCUUCUAGAUCAAAGGCCUGGCAGCAAACUUUACCCCAUUGGCCAGAGCAACAUCAGCAAGGCAGGCAGAGAUGCACAGCUGGUGGCUGCAUCUGCAGAGCUGAGAACAACUGGGUCUUGGUCACACUCAGGCCGAGGAAGACUCUUGAGGAGACGCCACACCUCCUUCCAGCCUGACGCAGACAAGGAGCUGAAAGGAGAUCUCUGAGAUCCUGCUGCUGCCAUGAACCCAGAAGACCUCCGGGACUGCUCAGGGCAUCACCACAGAGGCUGUUUCCUCCAACUCUCGCCCUGCCGCCUGCCCAGCUGCUCUGCAAGGAUCACAGACCCUGAAGUGAACCCCAGUCUGGCCUUGUCGUCUCCCCCUUGUGUGACUGGAGCACAGUUAUCUGACCUCACCUGUAAAAUGAGAAGAAUAUUUCCCUAUAUUGUUAUGAGGAUGAAAUGUAAUGUGGUCUGUGGCCUGGGCCACACAGUAGGUCCUGCCGAGUGUGGUGCUGUCCCCUCUACCCAGAGUGUGUUACAUUCAGGUGGAAAACUCGCCCUCCCCCAGAAUCCCCUGUCCCCCCAUGCUGUGUCACCACACCCGCCCAGGGGCCUCAUAUAUGAGCAUGUGCUUACCAGGUCUGAUACCUCAGGCAGGUACUGGCUCUACUGAUCUCAGACACCCUUGCAGAUACCAAGUGCUCUGUCAUUUCCCACAUCUACCCACACCCCAAUCAAUAAAUACACAGAUUUAGUGCUCUGGGUUCCCUCCAUAUGGGACCUGGGUUCCUUUCACUCUUACUAAAACAGGAAAAAGAAAAAAUAUUAACAACCCUUCACAUUGCAGGAUAGACAGAGAGAGAGUGAGCUGGUAUCGCUUCCUCUUCGAAUAAGGACACAAAUCUUCUUGGAUUAGGGCCCCACACUUAUAACCUCAUUUCACUGUAAUUUCCACCUUAAAGGCUCUAUCUUCAAAUAGCCUUCAUUGAGGGGGGGGUGAGGCUAUGGCUUCAACAUAUGAUUGGCGUGGUUGCACACAGUCCACCCAUAACCCCAGGUGAAUCCGUCAACAGUACCCCCAGAUGACUGCUGCUCAGGAAGGUUAACUUUAACCACUUCACCCUCAGUACCAUUUACCAUACAUUACACCAUAAUUUCUUCUCAUCUUAGUCUUUUAUCCACCUAGGGUGAAAGCUUUUUUGAGGAUAUCAUUGAGUAUAUCAGAAGAGAGUAAGCAACGAACAGCUGCAAAACCUGCUCAUUAAAUCAAAACCUAGGAGAAUUUUGUGACUGAGGCUGGUUUGUCCAGGUAACCUACACGGGUGCAUCAGGAAUGUUACCCACGUCCCCCCACCUCAGGCCAGCUUCCUCUGGGCAGGCCUCCUUCAGGGGUCAGAGUGGAGCAGAGGGUCCAGGCUAGAGGGCUAGUAGGCAGGCUUGGGCAGCAGGACUGGGACUAGAGUGAGGAGAAUGGGCCCCGAGGACACAGAACUGGAGGGGUUGUGACCCUGGCAGAGGCCCCCUGAGGGGGAGGGGGGACAUUUCUUCCCUCCCUGACGGGAUCUCCUCCUGCUGGGCUAGAGGGCCCUGGGUGGAGGGUCCUGUGGUGGUCGUGUCCUCCACACCCUGCCUGGGACCUGGUUUCUCCCUCCAUCUGGGACCCUCUUCUAGUCUGUAUGGAGCUUCCCUGACAGUGGGAAGGCCGUGUGGCUCAGUGAGCCUCCAGGGUCACAGUGAGUGGCUGUGAUUGCGUGUCAUUUGAGGGAUUCUGAGGAGCCUCACGCAUCCGCAACAAAGAGGAAAGCACUUCCUCCACCAGCUGAGCAAGUGCUGGUCUCUGCAGACUCAGCAAUUCAGAUAGAUGUUUCCUCAAGACUCUUGAGUCUCUAGAGGCUCCAUAAAGUUGCACAUGGCCUUAGGGUGCAGGUAUGUGAAGCUGUCGCCAGGUAAGGUGUGUUAGGCUGGUGACCCCCGAGAGGUCAGGGAUGCUGGGCCCUGAAGGAUGUCAGGAUUCCAGCUGCAGUUUAUUGCAGGGCGGAAUUCAGGUUCCCUUCAGCUCCAGGACAGAGUCUGGGCAGGUUUCACACAUGAAAUUUCAAUUGUCCUCAGGAUGAGUUACUGCCCUGGAUUCAGUGUGUGGCAGGAACACAAGGCCCUGCCCCCAGGGGUGCUCACCCUGUUUAAAAACAAAUUGUGACGUUUUUUCAAAAUGUUCAUUUUGCCUGAAAUAUAACAUCAAAUAAAUUGGGGAGUUGUCACAGGAUGAGAUUUCUAGAGAGCUCUGGGUUUGUGUACUGUGUCUUUUGCUUCUUUGUGCAGUGUCUGCAGUGCUCAAUUUGUGUCUCUCUUCUUAUUGUCUCAGUCUUUCUUUUUUGUUAGUUGCCAGGAAGUUAACUCGGUGUUAAAGAAUUUUAAAUGCAUGACAACAAAAACCAUUUUGUGAUGUUGAAUGAGAAUAGGACCAGGCUUCAAUCUUUUGCUUAUUAUGGUGAUGCUUUAUUUGUCUAUUACUGUUAUUAUUUCCAAGCUAAAAAUUUAAAAACAAAUUAUUAAUACCCUGGCCUGUUGUCUCUGAAUACUCCCAGAGGUCAGACUAAUGCCCUAGUGUCCAAAUCCUCUGGAGCUCAGUGCAGAUAUUACAUGACCCAAAGCCACCAUCAUACGUCACUUUGUCAGACUGUCCAUUGGCCAAAGGCCCAGGCAGAUAAGGACACUCCUAUCACCCAGAAUAUUCCAGGAGCUUAGGGACCACUUCCCAGCGGCCAAGGGCAAAGAGCAGGUUGACUCCUCACUACACACUCAGGCCCUUGAAUGAAGUUUUUCUCCCCCAAUCCCACUUCUGUUAGUUUCUCUGUGGACUUUCCACAAUACCAGCCUUUGGAAGUGAUUGUAUUGACCUGCCUCUGAGGCAUCUUUAUCAAAUACCUCUCUUAAGGCUAUCUUAAAAUGGCUUUUGCUUGUUUAUUUCAUGAUCGAGUAAUGGAGUAUCCAUGAGGUACAAACAUGUGUUUAAUGUUGAAAAUAACUUACAUUUGUAAAAUUCUUCCCUUGUGAUUUAUAAUAAAAUCUCUGUAGUUUAUGCAGAAUAGAUCCAUUGAGCUUAUUUUACAGACAAACAAAGUGUCUUUCUUAAUCCCUUGAUGUUCCUUGUUACAGGGAAGAAGUGGAGGCAUUAUGUAAAUUUAUGAAAGAGUUGAAGACAGACUUGGCUAUGGAAGACCAAGAGAGAUUCCAACAGGACCUGCUAGACAGGGAGAGGUUUUUAAAGGAGUUUCCUCAGGUGAAAAAGGAGCUGGAAGAGAGCAUAAGAAAGCUCUGCGCACUUGCAGACAGGGUUUGACAAGUUGAACAGGAACUGUACCAUCUUCAAGGUGGUGGCCAACUCCACUGGCACUGUGUCUGGUGUUCUGAACACCCUUGGCCUGGCUCUGGCACCCGUAACAGCAGGGGCCAGUUUGGCACUCUCAACCACUGGGUUAGGGCUGGGAGCAGCAGCUGCUGUGCCCACUGUGUCCUCCAGCAUCGUGGAACAAUUUAGCAAGUCAUCAGCAGAAACGGAAGCCAGUGGCCUGUUGUCAACUAGCGUCAAAGAAAAGGUGUCUGUGGGAGCUCAAUGUCUGUGUGCACUUGGGAUGGCUUUUCCUACAGCAAAAGUCUACAAAUCUAUGCAAGGGGUUAGGAAACAAGUUUAUGCUGCGAAGCUGGUGAAAGACAGCUCUCAGUUAGCAGCCCAUGUUAAAAGCUUCACGAGCACUGGGCAAGUCUCUGGCCAAACCAGCAAGGAGGUGAAAGAAGCUUUCAAAGGCACGGCUCUGGCAAUGACGAAAAAGGCCUGGAUCAGGCUUUGCAGGAAUCUCCCCUCUAGUGAAUGUGGGCUUCCUGGUAAGAGUCAGUGCACUUACGUGAGAGGGCAAAGACAGAGUUGGCUGAGAAGCUGAGGCAGCCGGCCAGGGAGCUGGAGGAGGAGUUGAAGGAGGCCAUACAGACCUAUGAGAGGCUGAAGGAAGGCCCGACUCCCCCACCCCCAGAGCAGUGCAGGAACCAGGGACACACGUGAGACCAAGGUUGAGAGCAGCUUGUUAGAGGGGAAAGGAGGGGAGACAGCACUGAUGGAGCCGGGUGUUAGGAAGCUGGCAUUUCUGCAGCUGAGCACAGCAGGGGGGAAUGCAUGCAGGUGGAAGAGGGGAGAGAGAAGGAAGGAGCCUGGGGCCUGGACUAAGAGGGGAGGGGGACUAGAGAGUGAGGGGAAGGGAGAAACCACUCAUUUUGGACUAAAGAACACACUGGGGACAGAGUAGAGAGGCAGAGGAACUAGCCACGAGAGGCCAGGAAUACGAAAGGCUUUAAAAUGGGAGAAAGUCAGAGGAAUGAUAGCUGGGAUCCAGAAAUAGCCCGGCCUCCUCUAUCGCCCUCCCCAGGGUUUGCUGUCCCAGCAAGAAUAGUCACCCCCAGGUGGUGGUCUCCAGCCCUCCUUCUCAAGCAUCAACCCACCUUUCAUCCCAGCAGGUUUAUCUUAAUUGGGCACUGACUUCUUGAUGAUGAUGGUGGUGGUGGUGGUGGUGGCAGCGAUGACCACUCAGAGGGUGGAACAUUUGUCGAGAUGCAGGUGAUGUUUGGGACCAGGAUACACUGAGUGACCAAUGAAGCUCCUAUGAAAUUCCAAAUGCUGUGUGAGACAGAGGUUGAUUUCAAAAAAAAAUUAGAAAAGAAAGAAAAAAAUGACAUCAGAAGGCAACAACUGAUCAAGGAACUUUGUGGUGCAUCAAGAUCAACCGGCCUGGGGUGAAGAGGAAGCCUCUCAGACCCUCGGUAUCUUCUUCUGCUGUGGGUGGGGCUGGACAAGACAUUUCAGGUUCCUUCGUCUCUCCCCACCUUUUGUUCUCCUGACUCUGGUUGAAUAAAUACGAGCUGAUUCAC